CCCUUUCGCCCUUCGGUAAUUCCAGCUCCAAUAGCGUAUACUCAUGUUGUUGCAGUUAAAAAGCUCGUAGUUGGAUUUCUGUUGUGGGAUGCCGGCCGGGUUCUCUGAACUUGUAGCUAGGUUAUCUUGCAGCAUCUUGGCGCAAAUCUCACUGGCAUUCAUUUGUUGGUGUUGACGACCGCCUCGUUUACUUUGAGAAAAUUAGAGUGUUCAAAGCAGGCUAUAGCUUUUGAAUAUAUUAGCAUGGAAUAAUAUUAUAGGACUUUGCGUUCUAUUUUGUUGGUUGUUCGAGGACGCAAGUAAUGAUUGAUAGGGACAGUUGGGGGCAUCAGUAUUCUGAAGCGAGAGGUGAAAUUCUUGGACCUUCGGAAGACUAACAACUGCGAAAGCAUUUGCCUAGGAUGUUCUCUUUAAUCAAGAACGAAGGUUGGGGGAUCGAAGACGAUCAGAUACCGUCGUAGUCUCAACUAUAAACUAUGCCAGCUAGGGAUGGGUUGAUGUUUAAAUACGACUCAAUCCGCACCUUAUGAGAAAUCAAAGCAUUUGGGUUCCGGGGGGAGUAUGGUCGCAAGGCUGAAACUUAAAGGAAUUGACGGGAGGGCACCACCAGGAGUGGAGCCUGUGGCUUAAUUUGACUCAACACGGGAAAACUUACCAGGUCCGGACAUAGCUAGGAUUGACAGAUUGAUAGCUCUUUCUUGAUUCUAUGGGUGGUGGUGCAUGGCCGUUCUUAGUUGGUGGAGUGAUUCGUCUGGUUAAUUCCGUUAACGAACGAGACCCCAGCCUGCUAAAUAGCUUGCUUUAUCUUUGAUAAACGUCAGCUUCUUAGAGGGACUAUUCUGUGUAUAACGAAUGGAAGUUUGGGGCAAUAACAGGUCUGUGAUGCCCUUAGAUGUUCUGGGCCGCACACGGGCUACACUGCGAUGUUCAGCAAGCUUCAUAACCUGACUCGAUAGGGUCGGGCAAUCUUUUGAACUCAUCGCGUGAUAGGGAUAGACUCUUGCAAUUAUUAGUCUUCAACGAGGAAUUCCUAGUAAACGCAAGUCAUCAGCUUGCAUUGAUUACGUCCCUGCUCCUUGUACACACCGCCC
rnacentral:rRNA from 1 species